CACUAAGAAGCUAAACAGGGAAGUAGCAUUAGCCUUUUAAGCUAAAGAUUGGUGACCCCCAACCACCCUCAGUGA
rnacentral:tRNA from 2 species